AAGGAUACCCAAUUUAUCACUAGCGACGCCGCUGCUGUCAGUUACGCUAAUGACCCGAUCUGUGGAUUGAAUGAGAGGUCUCGCCCCUUGUCUGCGUCAGAGGGACGGGACCUGUAUGACAGCAGAGGGCUGUGCCGCAAUGUGCAGCGAGACGCCGGUGUGCCUACUCAGCACGUCUAUCCGGACACCGUGCCGUUUCACUCUGCCACAGCAGAGGUUUACCUGAUAACUCUGGAUGUCUAUCCCCUUUAUUGGUCUUAAGCUGUAGUCAGGACCGUAUCAGCAUUUGACUACACAGCGCUAUUAUAUGUUUACCUGGGGAUGACGUCUUUCUUGUCAUGAUCAUAUGGACAUGAGUUUGCUGAAAAUUUCCAUUAUGAAUUGUUUAUUCUAAGUCAUAUGUAAUAGGCUUUAUUAUAAGCCCCUUUUCUAUAUAACUAGCCAUUCUUUGUAACGGUGUGAGGAUUGGCACACCUGGAAAUAUUGUAUUCCCCUGAUGAAGUGUGGGGAAUCCUAUGCUUGAUCCAUCCCCCAUACAGAAACGCGUUGGGACAGGGACAACCUUUUGGCUCAAAUUUGGCAUUACUAGCUAAUUAAGAAAUCUCUAUACUUUUUUCAUAUGACAUUUGUCGCUUGUGAUACUAUAAACAUCCUUUUGCUACUGGAUGUAGUGUAAUAUAUCUUUCACUGAUUAUUGACAAUUUUGAAUUGUGUGGUC